UUUUCGUGCCGCCGAUUGGGGUUUGGGGUCCGGAAAUCUGCGUUGAGUCUGGAACUACCCAGCUCCAGCCUUGGUAGACGACCCGCGCACUCCUCUUGCAGCUAAUUCGGGAUCAUUAAUUUAAUCGGAAAUGAGGUAACCAGUGUAGGAGAUAGAGAAAGCAAACCAAGCAUCGAAUGGCAGUUCUCGUGAAUCCACGCUGAAGAACUUCCUCUGGACUCGAUUUUUAAGCGCGGUUGUCAACACCCCACCACCCGGCCCCCUCCGCGUGUACCACCGCCAGGUGUUAGCUUGCCGGGAAGGAAUCUUCUUUGGAGGGGUGCACCUUGCCAACAGGUGUGGCACCUGGAGGAAGAGAAGGCACAUCCAUGCUAAAGGGAGGUCGGUGCGGCGUCCUCCUUAAUGCAGAUAAUUCUGGAAGACCAGUAGGUGUCGGGGCAGCAUUUGACCUCCUUCAGGUGCUUAGAACCAAGCGUCUGCAAACGUGAUCCCUCCACGUAAGUUUCUCUCUGGAAGCCACCGCUAUUGACUGUAAGCUGUAUUUAAGAAACCUUGGCUGAGUUUACUUAUGACCUAACGGUUAGUCACCAACUGAAGCAGGAUACAGAAUCACCAAGAGAAAUGUGUCAGCUUUUAAACAACUGUAUUAUUGUCAAGCCAACGUGCUACAGAAAUAAAAA
rnacentral:lncRNA from 1 species